rnacentral:rRNA from 1 species
UACGAAGGGGGCUAGCGUUGUUCGGAUUUACUGGGCGUAAAGGGCGUGUAGGCGGAUUUUUAAGUCAGGGGUGAAAUCCCAAGGCUCAACCUUGGAACUGCCUUUGAUACUGGGGAUCUUGAGUCCGGGAGAGGUGAGUGGAACUGCGAGUGUAGAGGUGAAAUUCGUAGAUAUUCGCAAGAACACCAGUGGCGAAGGCGGCUCACUGGCCCGGUACUGACGCUGAGGUGCGAAAGCGUGGGGAGCAAACAGG